CCAGACUCCUACGGGAGGCAGCAGUGGGGAAUAUUGCACAAUGGGCGAAAGCCUGAUGCAGCGACGCCGCGUGAGGGAUGACGGCCUUCGGGUUGUAAACCUCUUUCAGCAGGGAAGAAGCGCAAGUGACGGUACCUGCAGAAGAAGCGCCGGCUAACUACGUGCCAGCAGCCGCGGUAAUACGUAGGGCGCAAGCGUUGUCCGGAAUUAUUGGGCGUAAAGAGCUCGUAGGCGGCUUGUCACGUCGGAUGUGAAAGCCCGGGGCUUAACCCCGGGUCUGCAUUCGAUACGGGCAGGCUAGAGUUCGGUAGGGGAGAUCGGAAUUCCUGGUGUAGCGGUGAAAUGCGCAGAUAUCAGGAGGAACACCGGUGGCGAAGGCGGAUCUCUGGGCCGAUACUGACGCUGAGGAGCGAAAGCGUGGGGAGCGAACAGGAUUAGAUACCCUGGUAGUCCACGCCGUAAACGUUGGGAACUAGGUGUGGGCGACAUUCCACGUYGUCCGCGCNGCAKCUAACG
rnacentral:rRNA from 1 species